AACCUCCGCAAUGUGAGAAAUCGCGACGGGGGGAUCCCAAGUGCCAUUCUUAACGGGAUGGCUUUUCAUUAGUGUAAAGAGCUUUUGGAAUAAGGGCUGGGCAAGACCGGUGCCAGCCGCCGCGGUAACACCGGCAGCUCUAGUGGUAGCAGUUUUUAUUGGGCCUAAAGCGUCCGUAGCCGGUUUAAUAAGUCUCUGGUGAAAUCCUGUAGCUUAACUGUGGGAAUUGCUGGAGAUACUAUUAGACUUGAGACCGGGAGAGGUUAGAGGUACUCCCAGGGUAGAGGUGAAAUUCUGUAAUCCUGGGGGGACCGCCUGUUGCGAAGGCGUCUAACCGGAACGGUUCUGACGGUGAGGGACGAAAGUUAGGGGCGCGAACCGGAUUAGAUACCCGGGUAGUCCUAACCGUAAACGAUGCGGACUUGGUGUUGGGGUGGCUUUGAGCUGCUCCAGUGCCGAAGGGAAGCUGUUAAGUCCGCCGCCUGGGGAGUACGGUCGCAAGACUGAAACUUAAAGGAAUU
rnacentral:rRNA from 1 species